CAUACAGGAAGCAGCUGGUGGAACCUGAUGGUUUGAUUGACAGACAGACAGAGGAAAUACCUUAUAAGGAAGUCAGAGUCUUGAGAGAACCAAUAAGAAUGCGUCUUUCACCAAGAGGGUGGAGACAUCAUCGGUGGGCAUCAGCUACAGACCUCCAUUCAAAGACGGAGCUGCUUCCUCCUCUUCCUGUUACAAAGGCAACUGAAAGCUCCUGUCGAUUAGCCACAAGUCCCUGAAGCAGAUGCCGACUAAAUCUUUACCCACAAUUCAAUGUUCAUUUCCUUUGUAUGAAAUGUUCUGAUUUUGGUUGAUGUUUGUAUUUUACAUUGAAA